AUUGAACGCUGGCGGCAGGCUUGACACAUGCAAGUCGAGCGGGGAAAGGUAGCUUGCUACCGGACCUAGCGGCGGACGGGUGAGUAAUGCUUAGGAAUCUGCCUAUUAGUGGGGGACAACACCUCGAAAGGGAUGCUAAUACCGCAUACGUCCUACGGGAGAAAGCAGGGGAUCUUCGGACCUUGCGCUAAUAGAUGAGCCUAAGUCGGAUUAGCUAGUUGGUGGGGUAAAGGCCUACCAAGGCGACGAUCUGUAGCGGGUCUGAGAGGAUGAUCCGCCACACUGGGACUGAGACACGGCCCAGACUCCUACGGGAGGCAGCAGUGGGGAAUAUUGGACAAUGGGGGGAACCCUGAUCCAGCCAUGCCGCGUGUGUGAAGAAGGCCUUAUGGUUGUAAAGCACUUUAAGCGAGGAGGAGGCUACUUUAGUUAAUACCUAGAGAUAGUGGACGUUACUCGCAGAAUAAGCACCGGCUAACUCUGUGCCAGCAGCCGCGGUAA
rnacentral:rRNA from 1 species